rnacentral:ncRNA from 1 species
AUAAAAUAAUUAUGUUUUUGGAAAUUUAUUAUAAAUUUAUUUUACAUAUAAAUUUUAGUAUGUAAUUUUAAUUAUUUAAAUAAUAAUUAAUUUAUUUUAGUAGUAAUUAAUAUUAAAAAUUUAAGAAAUUAAGAUUUAGUAAUAUAAAAAUUAAUAACUAAUUUUGUGCCAGCAGUUGCGGUUAAACAAAAGUUAAAUUAAAUUAUUUCAGUAUAUAAUAAAUAAAAAAAUUAUUAAAAUAAAUAUUAAAUUAUUAAGUGAAAUUUUAAUUUAAUUAAAUUUUAUUUUAAAUUUAUGAUUUAAUAAAUUUUAAUAUAAACUAGGAUUAGAUACCCUAUUAUUAAAAAUUUAAUUUAUAAUACUAAAAUAGUAAAUAAUAAUUUAUUGAAACUUAAAUAAUAUGGCGGUAUUUUAGUUCAUUUAGAGGAAUCUGUCUAAUAAUUGAUAAUCCACGAAUAAAUUUACUUAAUUUACAAUUUUGUAUAUCAUUGUUAAAAAAAUAUUUUUUAGGAAAAAUAAUAUUUAAAAAUUAUAAUAAAAAAUUAAAUCAGAUCAAGAUGCAGAAUAUAAUUAAGAAUAUGAUGGAUUACAUUAAAUAUAUUUAUAUGAAUAAUUUUAUUGUAAUAAAAAUUUGAAGGUGGAUUUAAAUGUAAUUUUAAUUAGUUUAUUAAAAUGAUUAAAAAUUAAAAUAUGUACAUAUUGCCCGUCACUUUCAUUUAAAAAUUGAAAUAAGUCGUAACAAAGUAGAGGUACUGGAAAGUGUUUCUAGAAAGA